rnacentral:rRNA from 1 species
GGCGGACGGGUGAGUAACGCGUGGGUAACCUGCCUCAUACAGGGGGAUAACAGUUAGAAAUGACUGCUAAUACCGCAUAAGACCACAGCACCGCAUGGUGCAGGGGUAAAAACUCCGGUGGUAUGAGAUGGACCCGCGUCUGAUUAGGUAGUUGGUGGGGUAACGGCCUACCAAGCCGACGAUCAGUAGCCGACCUGAGAGGGUGACCGGCCACAUUGGGACUGAGACACGGUCCAA